CGGACGAGGGAGGGAGCAGGGCCCUGGGGAGCCCCUGACCACUCCACCAGGUCCCACCUUUUUCCCAAGGACGUCUUUCUGAUCUGCUUCUCCCUGGUGAGCCCGGCCUCCUUCGAGAACGUUCGUGCCAAGUGGUACCCGGAGGUGCGGCACCACUGCCCCCACACGCCCAUCCUCCUGGUGGGCACCAAGCUGGACCUCCGCGACGACAAGGACACCAUUGAGCGGCUGCGGGACAAGAAGCUGGCGCCCAUCACCUACCCACAGGGCCUGGCCAUGGCCCGGGAGAUCGGCUCUGUGAAAUACCUGGAGUGCUCAGCCCUGACCCAGCGGGGCCUGAAGACAGUGUUUGACGAGGCAAUCCGCGCGGUGCUCUGCCCGCCCCCAGUGAAGAAGCCGGGGAAGAAGUGCACCGUCUUCUAGAGCCCUGGCCCACCCGAGCCUGAGGGCUGGCAGGGAGCAGCCCUGGACGUGUCCGCUGUUGUGUUGAGGCGUGUGGUGUCCCUGAGUCAGCUGUGGGGAGCGGUGGGGGUGGGCAGGGGGGAAGCAUGGGGAUGAGGCUGGGUGGCAGGAUCCUGUCCUCUCUGCCGCCUCAUUCUGGGGUGUGGCUCCAGCCUUCCCUGGCCCCCGCCGGAGGCCGGGAGGGAGCAGGGUCUCCCUCAGGGCUGCAGGGGCAGGUGCAGGGAAGCCCCAGGAUGGGCUUCCCUGGAGGGGGAGGGUGGGGGGGAGUUCUGUUCCUUGUGCCUCGAGGUGGGGCAGCCCCUUCUUAUUUUAUACAAUAAACAUUCUCCACCUACA
rnacentral:sRNA from 1 species